rnacentral:piRNA from 1 species
UACUAGUGCAUCAUACAUGACCGGGAAC